UUUCCGGUUGAUCCCGCCGGAGGCUACUGCUAUUGGGGUUCGAUUAAGCCAUGCGAGUCUAAAGGUCCUUCGGGACCUUGGCAUACGGCUCAGUAACACGUGGAUAAUCUGCCCUUAGGUGGGGGAUAAGCUCGGGAAACUGAGUAUAAUACCCCAUAGGUCCGGGAGGCUGGAAUGCGCCCAGGCUGAAAGAUCCGUCGCCUAAGGAUGAGUCCGCGGCCUAUCAGGUUGUAGUCAGGGUAAAGACCUGACUAGCCGUCGACGGGUACGGGUGUUGAGAGACAUAGCCCGGAGAUGGACUCUGAGACACGAGUCCAGGCCCUACGGGGCGCAGCAGGCGCGAAAACUUCGCAAUGCGGGAAACCGUGACGAGGGAACCCCAAGUGCUUAUGCAAUGCAUGAGCUGUUUGCCAGCCUAAAAAGCUGGUAGAGUAAGGGCUGGGUAAGACCGGUGCCAGCCGCCGCGGUAAUACCGGCAGCUCGAGUGGUAGCCACUAUUAUUGGGCCUAAAGCGUCCGUAGCCGGUUUGGUAAAUCCCUGGGUAAAUCGUGAUGCCUAACAUCAUGACUUCCGGGGAGACUGCUAGACUUGGGAACGGGAGAGGUUAGGGGUACUUGCGGGGUAGCGGUGAAAUGCUAUAAUCCUGCAGGGACCACCAGUGGCGAAGGCGCCUAACUUGAACGUGUCCGACGGUAAGGGACGAAACCCUGGGUCGCGAACGGGAUUAGAUACCCCGGUAGUCCAGGGCGUAAACGCUGCAGGCUUGGUGUUGGGGAUCCCGCGUGGGUGCCCAGUGCCGGAGUGAAGAUGUUAAGCUUGCCGCCUGGGGAGUACGGUCGCAAGACUGAAACUUAAAGGAAUUGGCGGGGGAGCACAGCAACGGGUGGAGCGUGCGGUUUAAUUGGAUUCAACGCCGGG
rnacentral:rRNA from 1 species